rnacentral:ncRNA from 1 species
GAGAACUGCGAGGAGCCAACCCUAGUACGAGAGGAUUGGGCUGGGCUAACCUAUGAUGUACCGGUUGUUAUGCCAAUAGCUGCGCCGGGCAGCUAAGUUGGUAUGGAAGAACUGCUGCGCCGCGGAAAAUCCUUCUCUAUACAAGUUCUC